GUUUGACUGGGGCGGUCGCCUCCUAAAGCGUAACGGAGGCGCGCGAAGGUUGGCUCAGAGCGGUCGGAAAUCGCUCGUUGAGUGCAAUGGCAGAAGCCAGCCUGACUGCGAGACUGACAAGUCGAGCAGAGUCGAAAGACGGCCAUAGUGAUCCGGUGGUCCCAAGUGGGAGGGCCAUCGCUCAACGGAUAAAAGGUACUCCGGGGAU
rnacentral:rRNA from 14 species